rnacentral:rRNA from 1 species
CAUAGCGACUAUCGUGGCAUAUCAAUAAGCGGAGGAAAAGAAACUAACAAGGAUUCCCCUAGUAACGGCGAGUGAAGCGGGAAGAGCUCAAAUUUGAAAUCUUAAAGGGUUUCCCUUUACGAAUUGUAGUUUAAAGAAGUGUCUUCUGUUGAAGUUUUGGUAAAAGUUCUUUGGAAUAGGACAUCAUAGAGGGUGAGAAUCCCGUAUUUGACCAUUAUUUUCAGCUGUGUGAUACACUUUCAAAGAGUCGGAUUGUUUGGGAAUGCAGUCCAAAAUGGGUGGUAAAUUUCAUCUAAAGCUAAAUAUUGGCGAGAGACCGAUAGCGAACAAGUACCGUGAGGGAAAGAUGAAAAGAACUUUGAAAAGAGAGUUAAACAGUACGUGAAAUUGUCAAAAGGGAAGCGUUUGACACCAGUGUUGUUUUUCCGAAAAUCAAUUACGAAUGUUUUGUUUUUAAGAAGUUAUGACUUCAUCGGCUUGCUUCUUUCUUUACGAAACUUUCUUAAUGCACUUUUCGGUUAACAAGUCAACAUCAAUUUCUUUUGUUGUAAAAGGGUACGAGGAAGGUGGCUUUCUUUUCGGAGAAAGUGUUUAUAGCCUUGUACCUCUGCAAUCGGAGAGAUUGAGGUCUGCAGCGUAGAUCCUUCGGGGUUAGAUACGUUUGUGCUAAGUUAUAGCUUUUCAUAGACAACUUGUCGACUAUGUUUAGUCUUGUAGCUUACUCGCUUAUGCUAUAUUACCUACGCUUAGGAUGUUGAUAUGCAUGACUGAUAU